UUGUGAUGCCCAAUUAUCGGGGGCGGUGUUCAACCAACCCCAUCCCUUUGCACUGCAGGAUGUUCUUGUCUCAAGCCUUUGAGCAAUCGGGUUUGUUGACGGUGCAUUCAUCGGUUGACUUAGGGAGGCCGAACAACAACUCGGCGCGGUUAGCGCCAAGGAUUUGGAAUUACAUGUAUGCCAUUCUCAUUCGUGGGUUUGUCAUUACAUCAAUCUAAUAAAUCACGACUCUCGGCAACGGAUAUCUUGGCUCUUGCAUCGAUGAAGAACGUAGCGAAAUGCGAUACUUGGUGUGAAUUGCAGAAUCCCGUGAACCAUCGAGUCUUUGAACGCAAGUUGCGCCCGAGACCUUUAGGUUGAGGGCACACCUGCUUGGGCGUCAUGCUAUACGUCGCUCCCACAUCCAUCUCAAUAGAAGUGGAUAUAGGGCGCGGAGAUUGGCUAUCCGUUCAAAUCCUUGUGCGGUUUGCUUAAAAUCUGGACCUUUGGUGGGCUGUGAUACGUCUAGUGGUGGUUGUUGGCUUAUUAGCCGCGAUUGACAGAAGGACGUGCCGACGCCCCGCCUUAAGGUUUGCCUUUGGAACCCAAGUCGGGGGUCUUUUGACUUUCGAACAGCGACCCCA
rnacentral:rRNA from 1 species